UACGUAGGGUGCAAGCGUUGUCCGGAAUUAUUGGGCGUAAAGAGCUCGUAGGCGGCUUGUCGCGUCGGCUGUGAAAACCUGGGGCUCAACCCUGGGCCUGCAGCCGAUACGGGCAAGCUAGAAUUCGGUAGGGGAGACUGGAAUUCCUGGUGUAGCGGUGAAAUGCGCAGAUAUCAGGAGGAACACCCGUGGCGAAAGCGGCUCUCUGGGACGGUACUGACGCUGAGACGCGAAAGCGUGGGGAGCAAACAGG
rnacentral:rRNA from 1 species